rnacentral:misc_RNA from 1 species
AAUAAUCUGGUUGAUGUAUGUGCAUCAACAGCACUUAAGGGAUCAUCCAAGAGAUACACAUCUGCAUCUUGAUACAGUGCACGUGCAAGUUGAAUGCGCUGUUUCUGUCCACCACUUAGAUUUACACCUCUUUCUCCAAUCUGAGUGAGGUCCCCAAAUGGAAGCAUCUGAAGGUCCUUCACUAGGGAACACUUCUUAAGUGCCUCAUGAUAUCUUACUGGAUCCAAUGCUGACCCAAACAGAAUAUUUUCUUUUAUAGUCCCUGUCUGGAUCCAUGCAGCCUGAGAAACAUAUGCUACCGUCCCAUAAACAUGAACCUGAAAAAU